rnacentral:rRNA from 1 species
UUGAAGAGUUUGAUCAUGGCUCAGAUUGAACGCUGGCGGCAGGCCUAACACAUGCAAGUCGAACGGUAACAGAAAGCAGCUUGCUGCUUUGCUGACGAGUGGCGGACGGGUGAGUAAUGUCUGGGAAACUGCCUGAUGGAGGGGGAUAACUACUGGAAACGGUAGCUAAUACCGCAUAACGUCGCAAGACCAAAGAGGGGGACCUUCGGGCCUCUUGCCAUCGGAUGUGCCCAGAUGGGAUUAGCUUGUUGGUGGGGUAACGGCUCACCAAGGCGACGAUCCCUAGCUGGUCUGAGAGGAUGACCAGCCACACUGGAACUGAGACACGGUCCAGACUCCUACGGGAGGCAGCAGUGGGGAAUAUUGCACAAUGGGCGCAAGCCUGAUGCAGCCAUGCCGCGUGUAUGAAGAAGGCCUUCGGGUUGUAAAGUACUUUCAGCGGGGAGGAAGGGAGUAAAGUUAAUACCUUUGCUCAUUGACGUUACCCGCAGAAGAAGCACCGGCUAACUCCGUGCCAGCAGCCGCGGUAAUACGGAGGGUGCAAGCGUUAAUCGGAAUUACUGGGCGUAAAGCGCACGCAGGCGGUUUGUUAAGUCAGAUGUGAAAUCCCCGGGCUCAACCUGGGAACUGCAUCUGAUACUGGCAAGCUUGAGUCUCGUAGAGGGGGGUAGAAUUCCAGGUGUAGCGGUGAAAUGCGUAGAGAUCUGGAGGAAUACCGGUGGCGAAGGCGGCCCCCUGGACGAAGACUGACGCUCAGGUGCGAAAGCGUGGGGAGCAAACAGGAUUAGAUACCCUGGUAGUCCACGCCGUAAACGAUGUCGACUUGGAGGUUGUGCCCUUGAGGCGUGGCUUCCGGAGCUAACGCGUUAAGUCGACCGCCUGGGGAGUACGGCCGCAAGGUUAAAACUCAAAUGAAUUGACGGGGCCCGCACAAGCGGUGGAGCAUGUGGUUUAAUUCGAUGCAACGCGAAGAACCUUACCUGGUCUUGACAUCCACGGAAGUUUUCAGAGAUGAGAAUGUGCCUUCGGGAACCGUGAGACAGGUGCUGCAUGGCUGUCGUCAGCUCGUGUUGUGAAAUGUUGGGUUAAGUCCCGCAACGAGCGCAACCCUUAUCCUUUGUUGCCAGCGGUCCGGCCGGGAACUCAAAGGAGACUGCCAGUGAUAAACUGGAGGAAGGUGGGGAUGACGUCAAGUCAUCAUGGCCCUUACGACCAGGGCUACACACGUGCUACAAUGGCGCAUACAAAGAGAAGCGACCUCGCGAGAGCAAGCGGACCUCAUAAAGUGCGUCGUAGUCCGGAUUGGAGUCUGCAACUCGACUCCAUGAAGUCGGAAUCGCUAGUAAUCGUGGAUCAGAAUGCCACGGUGAAUACGUUCCCGGGCCUUGUACACACCGCCCGUCACACCAUGGGAGUGGGUUGCAAAAGAAGUAGGUAGCUUAACCUUCGGGAGGGCGCUUACCACUUUGUGAUUCAUGACUGGGGUGAAGUCGUAACAAGGUAACCGUAGGGGAACCUGCGGUUGGAUCACCUCCUU